rnacentral:rRNA from 1 species
CUGCGGAGGGAUCAUUACAAGUGACCCCGGUCUAACCACCGGGAUGUUCAUAACCCUUUGUUGUCCGACUCUGUUGCCUCCGGGGCGACCCUGCCUUCGGGCGGGGGCUCCGGGUGGACACUUCAAACUCUUGCGUAACUUUGCAGUCUGAGUAAACUUAAUUAAUAAAUUAAAACUUUUAACAACGGAUCUCUUGGUUCUGGCAUCGAUGAAGAACGCAGCGAAAUGCGAUAAGUAAUGUGAAUUGCAGAAUUCAGUGAAUCAUCGAAUCUUUGAACGCACAUUGCGCCCCCUGGUAUUCCGGGGGGCAUGCCUGUUCGAGCGUCAUUUCACCACUCAAGCCUCGCUUGGUAUUGGGCAACGCGGUCCGCCGCGUGCCUCAAAUCGACCGGCUGGGUCUUCUGUCCCCUAAGCGUUGUGGAAACUAUUCGCUAAAGGGUGUUCGGGAGGCUACGCCGUAAAACAACCCCAUUUCUAAGGUUGACCUCGGAUCAGGUAGGGAUACCCGCUGAACUUAAGCAUAUCAAUAAG